UCGCCUGUUUAUCAAAAACAUCGCCUCUUGCUAAAAAAGAUGUAUUAGAGGUCCAACCUGCCCAGUGACCAUGUGUUAAACGGCCGCGGUAUUAUAACUGCGCAAAGGUAGCGUAAUCACUUGUCUUUUAAAUGAAGACCUGUAUGAAUGGUGCCACGAGGGUUUAACUGUCUCCUCUCCCCAGUCAAUGAAAUUGAUCUGCCCGUGCAGAAGCGGACAUGAAAACAUAAGACGAGAAGACCCUUUGGAGCUUUAGGCCAAAGAACCAAACACGUAAAAAAUUUAAUAGAACCAAAAGAAAAGAACAAAUUUUAACCCAGUGCACACUGACCACAGGCCUUCGGUUGGGGCGACCCCGGGGAAAAAUAAAGCCCCCGGACGGAAUGGAGUUUUUCCAGAACCAAGAGGCACACCUCCAAGUAACAGAAAAUCUGACCAAACAUGACCCGGGACCACACUAAACCCGAUCAAUGAACCAAGUUACCCUAGGGAUAACAGCGCAAUCCUUUCCCAGAGUCCCUAUCGACGAAAGGGUUUACGACCUCGAUGUUGGAUCAGGACAUCCUAAUGGUGAAGCCGCUAUUAAGGGUUCGUUUGUUCAACGAUUAACAGUCCUACGUGAUCUGAGUUCAGACCGG
rnacentral:rRNA from 1 species